rnacentral:rRNA from 1 species
CCUACGGGUGGCAGCAGUGGGGAAUAUUGGACAAUGGGGGCAACCCUGAUCCAGCCAUGCCGCGUGUGUGAAGAAGGCCCUCGGGUUGUAAAGCACUUUCAGUGAGGAAGAACGCCUGGUGGUUAAUACCCAUCAGGAAAGACAUCACUCACAGAAGAAGCACCGGCUAACUCCGUGCCAGCAGCCGCGGUAAUACGGAGGGUGCGAGCGUUAAUCGGAAUUACUGGGCGUAAAGCGCGCGUAGGUGGCUUGAUAAGCCGGUUGUGAAAGCCCCGGGCUCAACCUGGGAACGGCAUCCGGAACUGUCAAGCUAGAGUGCAGGAGAGGAAGGUAGAAUUCCCGGUGUAGCGGUGAAAUGCGUAGAGAUCGGGAGGAAUACCAGUGGCGAAGGCGGCCAUCUGGACUGACACUGACACUGAGGUGCGAAAGCGUGGGUAGCAAACAGGAUUAGAUACCCGAGUAGUC